GGCGAGGUGGCCGAGUGGUUAAGGCGAUAGACUUGAAAUCUGUUGUGCUCUGCAUGCGUGGGUUCGAAUCCCACCCUCGUCG
rfam:Astyanax mexicanus chromosome 14, whole genome shotgun sequence.